rnacentral:rRNA from 1 species
GAUGAACGCUGGCGGCGUGCUUAACACAUGCAAGUCGAACGAUGAAGCCCAGCUUGCUGGGUGGAUUAGUGGCGAACGGGUGAGUAACACGUGAGUAACCUGCCCUUAACUCUGGGAUAAGCCUGGGAAACUGGGUCUAAUACCGGAUAGGAGCGUCCACCGCAUGGGGGGUGUUGGAAAGAUUUAUCGGUUUUGGAUGGACUCGCGGCCUACCAGCUUGUUGGUGGGGUAAUGGCUCACCAGGCGACGACGGGUAGCCGGCCUGAGAGGGUGACCGGCCACACGGGGACUGAGACACGGCCCAGACUCCUACGGGAGGCAGCAGUGGGGAAUAUUGCACAAUGGGCGAAAGCCUGAUGCAGCGACGCCGCGUGAGGGAUGACGGCCUUCGGGUUGUAAACCUCUUUCAGUAGGGAAGAAGCGAAAGUGACGGUACCUGCAGAAGAAGCACCGGCUAACUACGUGCCAGCAGCCGCCGUAA